UACGAAGGGGGGCUAGCGUUGCUCGGAAUCACUGGGCGUAAAGGGUGCGUAGGCGGGUCUUUAAGUCAGGGGUGAAAUCCUGGAGCUCAACUCCAGAACUGCCUUUGAUACUGAGGAUCUUGAGUUCGGGAGAGGUGAGUGGAACUGCGAGUGUAGAGGUGAAAUUCGUAGAUAUUCGCAAGAACACCAGUGGCGAAGGCGGCUCACUGGCCCGAUACUGACGCUGAGGCACGAAAGCGUGGGAGCAAACAGG
rnacentral:rRNA from 1 species